UCAGGGGAAGUAUUUGUUGCGGUCUAUGAUUUUGUUUGUUGUCUAUGAUUAUCGUUCGUGCAAAUGGUGGCGCUGUUUGGAAAAUUUGAAAACAACACGAUUGGCAAUUUAUUUGGAUUUCGAAGAUCCUGGUCCUGGCUGAAAUUUAAAGUAUUGCAGCUGUAGCCUGUAUACCAUACAUUCAACAUGAAAAGGACUGUCAGGAUGCUGCAUUAAAUGGUCUUAGCUAGAGCCUAGAAUGUUAAUUUGCAAGGAACUGAUGGGGAGCAGAUUUUCUAUCCAAUCAUAGAAGCAGUAAGAGACAGCCAAAGAAGUACUCAAACACUUGACAUACCCAUAAAGAUCUAGAAGAAAAGAUUGGAACAGAUUGUAGCUUAAUUGUUAAAACUAUUAAAGAGAAUUUAAGCUGGACUUAAACUGUAUUUGAAAAUAAAAUAUCUGAAGUAUUUAAUAUUGUCUUGAUAUUUUGUUAAACUUGGUUACUUUGCUUUAUAUCCAAAAAUUAAAGUAUGGUGGGUUUUCAACGUUGAAAUGACAUUGAAACUUCAACGUUGUGCCAACGUUGAAGCUGCAACGUUGUAUCAACGUUGAAAUUUCAACGUUGUUUCAACUUUCAAAUCCAAAUAUAAAUCCAACCUUAUUUCAACGUUGAAAUAUGACCAUAAUUCAACGUUGAAACAACGUCGAUGUGCCUGCUGGGUAUAAGCUAUGGUUCAGUUUAUGCAAUUCUGACUGAUGUCUAUGGGAUGUCAAAGGUUUCCGCUAGAUGGGUCCCCAGGCAGUUGACUGACGACCAGAAACGGACCAGACUUGAUAAAUUAAGAUAUCUUUGUCUCGCUACGAGGAUGAACCUGAUUUAAUCUACCGGGUCUUAACUCAGGAUGAAACGUGGGUCCAUCACUUCGAUCCAGAAUCCAAAAAAACAGAGCAUGCAGUGGAAGCACCCUGGCUCACCCCCUCCGAAGAAAUUCAAGAGGGUGCCAUCAGCAGGGAAGAUCAUGUCUUCAUUUUUUAUAGUCAGGAGAUAAUCAUGAUUGGCUAUCUUGAACAAGGUAGUACCAUAAACGGUACAUACUAUGCAGGCGAAUUAAGACGUCUCCGUCAAGAAAUCGCGCGUAAAAGGAGUGCAAACUGUCUCAACGCGUUCUACUCCUGCACGAAAAUGUGCCAGCUCACACAUCCCAAGUUACGAUGGCUGCUGGAACUGAUUGCGGCUUGGAAAAUCUUCCCCAUUCCCCAUAUUCGCCUCUGACUUCUGCCUGUUUCCGAAACCUAAAACCAGGCUUCGUGGUAGACGUUUUGGAAGCAUUGAAGAUGUCAUGGAGGCGGUUAAUGAGUUUUUAGGACCAAAAUAGAGUGUUCUAUUUUGCAGGUUAAACAAGUUGGAGCAAAGGUGGGCAAAUGCAUUGAUAUAGAGGGCGAUUAUAUUGAAAAGUAAGACCAUUAGUUGGGUUCCCUCACUUCCGGACGGAGAUCGUGUCAAGAACUUUUUGGUCAAUCCUCGUACGCCAUUAUUCUUAACGCAUAAAAUAUGAAUGAUUGAUUAGGUGGUAAAAUAUUUAGGCGAUAAAAAGUAUGCUUUUACUUACGAAUUAUCGACUAUUCGCCAAUAUUGAUGUAAACAGAUAAUGAAAAGAAUUGCAAAUUCGAGCUGUACCACAAAGUGUUAAGCAAACAAAUGUGUUACAUAAUCAAUUAUAAAUGUUUAUUGUGAGCGUAUUAGAUGAGUGUAUUAGAUAUGUUCAAAAGUUCGUGGAAUUUUGCUGCCAUUUUACUUGGAUCAUGGAAACAGAGGGUGUCUUUAUUUCUAAAAGUGAGUUUUACUUUUAUCGUAUUUUUUAUUUCCUUCACGAGCUUUGU